rfam:Cavia porcellus supercont2_30 genomic scaffold, whole genome shotgun sequence.
UUGUGCUUUGGCAGCAAAUACACUAAAAUUGGAACAAUACAGAGAUUAAUAUGGUCCCCACACAAGGAUGACAUGCAAAUUCAUGAAGCAUUCCAUAUUAAA